AGAGAACUCUGGAGGGCACUCUUCUCACUCUUUAGGCAUCGUAUCUGUUGCUGAAGUUCUUUAAUGGCUUCUCUCUUAUCAUUGUUUCUCCUAGUUAACUCCUCCUGAUGCUGCAGAUUUUCCUCCAUGAGCAUUGUCACUUGAACUCGUUGCUGAAGAUGUCAUAGUUAUAUUUGAGGCUGCCAGUGCCACCAAUUGCAGCAGAUUUCGCAUCUGGGCUUUUGAAAUUGCAUCGAAAUAUCUCGGCAUCAGAAGACGAAGACGAUGCGGAAUAGAGAGUGUUCACAAAUAUGAACUUUAAACAGUCAUAUUUUUCGGCCAAGGAUUGGGAACUGAACUCGGGAGUAAAAAAAUAGAAGCAACCGAGAAGGCAGAGGGAAAGCUAAGAGGCAGCAGGUUUAGAAUAAUAGAAGGCUGAAAAUGGAGAAUAUGUGGGGGAGGAGAGGGGGAUCAUCGAACAGCUGAGCUCAAGUUCGAUAGUAGAAGCUUUAUGUGAAUUAAUUUAUGUUCAUUUUGGCACAGAAAUUUUGAUUUUAUCCAACUCAACAUUGAUUUUGAAUAACUUUGAACUUUUUUUUUUUUGGGUUAAAUUACAAUUUUAAUUUU